UACGUAUGGUGCAAGCGUUGUUCGGAAUCACUGGGCGUAAAGAGCGCGCAGGCGGAUCAUUAAGUCGGGUGUGAAAUCUCUGGGCUCAACCCAGAGUCUGCAUUCGAUACUGGUGAUCUGGAGUCUCGGAGAGGUAAGCGGAAUUCCUGGUGUAGCGGUGAAAUGCGUAGAUAUCAGGAGGAACACCUAUGGCGAAGGCAGCUUACUGGACGAUGACUGACGCUCAGGCGCGAAAGCGUGGGGAGCAAACAGG
rnacentral:rRNA from 1 species